UGCCGCUGUGGCGUUGGUGCUGCCGCGUUGCUCUCACGGUCAAACAGACUACUCGCUUCAGUAAUCCGGAGAAACGAAGUUAAAGCAUGUCGGCCGUAACCUGAUGCAAAUAGCUAUUGUCAUUGCGCGCCGGACCGAACAAGUGAACUCGCUUCAGUCGCUGUAAGUAUACCAAAACCGUCUGCACCAUCCGUUAGAAUAAGUGUCGCGCUGAAAUACGGCCGUCCGAUUAAGGCUAACGGACACAACACCAUGGAUGCAUCAUUGUCGUUGUCGGCGCCCUUGCGAAUAACACCUACCUACCCACCUACAUCAAACAUUAGGAUGGCUGCUAAUACAGGCAAGCCGCGUACAACGCCACCUUGUUGCCGGCUUUACUUUCGACGACGUACAUUUCGUUCAUCCCUGCACGACACCCGGAACAGAUGCCCCGUCACUCAUCUGACCCAACAACGACGCUCACUACAACAGGCGGUGCCCGCCGCAAUGGCAACGAGUCUCUCGCAGGCGAAGAGCCAACGAUCCGACCCCAUUUGCCCUACUCCCCAUUUAUUUACGCUUUUUCCUAUUAUUUCGCCUGUGUUAUUUCCUGGAUUUCGAGGAUGAGGAUCAUAGUUGGCCGACAAGAAGCGUCAGAGCCUUGCCUACCUCAUAUAGGUAUUCCACCAUCGGCUUCGUUACGGAUCUGUUCAAGUUCUUGCAUAACGUCUAUAGGUAAACGAUUCGUUUGCGGCAAAGCUGCAAUGCUGCGCGAAAUCGGUUAUCCAUUCGAAUAAACAGUGGCGGUAAAAAAAAAAAAAAA
rnacentral:lncRNA from 1 species